UCACCUCUUACCUUUCCGAACAGAGAAGUUAAGCCCAACUGCGCAGAUGGUACUGCAGUUAUGUGGGAGAGUAUGUCGCCGCCUUCU
rnacentral:rRNA from 1 species